rnacentral:rRNA from 1 species
GACGAACCACACGAACGUUAUUCGGAAUCACUGGGCUUAAAGGGUGCGUAGGCGGCGCGGAAAGUAGGGUGUGAAAUCCCUCGGCUCAACCGAGGAACUGCGCUCUAAACUACCGUGCUCGAGGGAGGUAGAGGUGAGCGGAACUUAGGGUGGAACGGUGAAAUGUGUUGAUAUCCUAAGGAACACCGGUGGCGAAAGCGGCUCACUGGAUCUCUUCUGACGCUGAGGCGCGAAAGCCAGGGGAGCAAACGGG